CGGUAGGGGGCAAGCGUUAUCCGGAUUUACUGGGUGUAAAGGGAGCGUAGGUGGUUCGGCAAGUCAGAUGUGAAAGCCCGGGGCUCAACCCCGGGACUGCAUUUGAAACUGCCUUACUAGAGUGCAGGAGAGGUAAGUGGAAUUCCUAGUGUAGCGGUGAAAUGCGUAGAUAUUAGGAGGAACACCAGUGGCGAAGGCGGCUUACUGGACUGUAACUGACACUGAGGCUCGAAAGCGUGGGGGAGCAAACAGGAUUAGAUACCCUGGUAGUCCACGCCGUAAACGACGAAUACUAGGUGUCGGGGCCCUUCCGGGCUCCGGUGCCGCAGCUAACGCAAUAAGUAUUCCACCUGGGGAGUACGUUCGCAAGAAUG
rnacentral:rRNA from 1 species